rnacentral:lncRNA from 1 species
AUGAUCACUCCCUUGUGCCUGGAAAACACAGCAGUUGAGAAAACAACUAGUACAAUCUCCGUGCAGGCCAGCCUGCGUUUCAGGUGCUUCUCCCUGCAGAGAGCCUCCUGUUACCUUCCUACCUCCUUCCUUGAGCCCAGCUCAUCCCUGGGCUGUGGAGAAGCCAAGCUCAAAGUGGCAGAAGAGCAAGCUUUCCCCUCCUCAGUCCCGUUCCUGGGGGUUCAUGGUUUGUCUCUGUGCUCGCUGAGUGCCUGUAACUCAUGCUAACAUAAUCUCUAACAGCAUAAUGCACAAAUAAGGGUGAGACUGAGCAAAGAAAUUCCCAGGAACGUGCUGAGUGGAACUGGAGCACAGAGAAAUAGAGCCUACAACCUGUUAUUGGAAAUGGGGUGAAUUGUGGGGCAGCCCACGCAAAAGAUCUUGGAGCUGAGCAGCCUGGGACACCGCUUUCUGCAAAAAGCAUGGUCGGAGUCAGAGCUGAGGUUCCUAAUGAUGCUCCACAACGUUUAAAGAAGCUUGGAAUGUGAGGCCAAAGGAAGACUGAGUCCUGGCAUCAUUGCCUUUUGUUUUCUUUAAGACAGCAAACAAAAUAAAUCCACAAAGUAACAACA